rnacentral:rRNA from 1 species
GAUGAACGCUGGCGGCGUGCUUAACACAUGCAAGUCGAACGAAGCAUUUAGAACAGAUUACUUCGGUUUGAAGUUCUUUAUGACUGAGUGGCGGACGGGUGAGUAACGCGUGGGUAACCCGCCUUGUACUGGGGGAUAGCAGCUGGAAACGGCUGGUAACACCGCAUAAGCGCACAAUGUUGCAUGACAUGGUGUGAAAAACUCCGGUGGUAUAAGAUGGACCCGCGUCUGAUUAGCUAGUUGGUGAGAUAACAGCCCACCAAGGCGACGAUCAGUAGCCGACCUGAGAGGGUGACCGGCCACAGUGGGACUGAGACACGGCCCAGACUCCUACGGGAGGCAGCAGUGGGGAAUAUUGCACAAUGGAGGAAACUCUGAUGCAGCGACGCCGCGUGAGUGAAGAAGUAAUUCGUUAUGUAAAGCUCUAUCAGCAGGGAAGAUAGUGACGGUACCUGACUAAGAAGCUCCGGCUAAAUACGUG